GAUGAACGCUGGCGGCGUGCCUAAUACAUGCAAGUCGAGCGAACAGACGAGGAGCUUGCUCCUCUGACGUUAGCGGCGGACGGGUGAGUAACACGUGGAUAACCUACCUAUAAGACUGGGAUAACUUCGGGAAACCGGAGCUAAUACCGGAUAAUAUAUUGAACCGCAUGGUUCAAUAGUGAAAGACGGUUUUGCUGUCACUUAUAGAUGGAUCCGCGCCGCAUUAGCUAGUUGGUAAGGUAACGGCUUACCAAGGCAACGAUGCGUAGCCGACCUGAGAGGGUGAUCGGCCACACUGGAACUGAGACACGGUCCAGACUCCUACGGGAGGCAGCAGUAGGGAAUCUUCCGCAAUGGGCGAAAGCCUGACGGGGCAACGCCGCGUGAGUGAUGAAGGUCUUCGGAUCGUAAAACUCUGUUAUUAGGGAAGAACAAAUGUGUAAGUAACUAUGCACGUCUUGACGGUACCUAAUCAGGAAGCCACGGCUAACUACGUG
rnacentral:rRNA from 1 species